UUUUUUUUUUUUUUUUUGUGGACAACAAACCACUUGAACUUGAACAUGAUGUACUCAUAAAGUAAUUUUGAUUUCAGAAGUGGGAAGUAGGAUUGCACAUGAAGGCAGCAUAAAACAGGAGGAGAUAAGACUCGUCAGAUCCAACUGAUGACUGAUGGGUGACACACAAACGUUCAGAAACGGAGAUUUUUCUCCAGGAUGCAGGAGCAGUCCAGUACAGGUGGCGAGACCAAACUCUCUGGACCCCAGCAGUGUGUCUAUGAAGAGUGAUGACUCUUUGGACAUGCCAAUAAAAUUUAGUCAAGACACAUCACAUGGUCUGAGGUCAUUUUUUUUUUUAAUUUUAUGCAUUUGUUUAGACCAAUCUGUGAAACAUUUUGACCAAUUCAUUAAAAAGAAGAGUCUCAAAAAAAUGAUUCACUCACAAAUCAAACCCCGCUAUGUCUUACAUGAAAGUUUAUGCUACACAAGAGCAAUAUCUAACAAGUAACCCGCACCUGGAAGAGCAAAGGAAAAAUACACAAGCACUUCAAGCCACUCUCAGCACUGUCAUCUGCACCACUUGAACAAAGUCACACUUCUUGUAAUAAACGCCCCUCAGGGUACAUUAAAGCAUU